GAUGAAGAACGCAGUGAAAUGCGAUAAGUAAUGUGAAUUGCAGAAUUCAGUGAAUCAUCGAAUCUUUGAACGCACAUUGCGCCCGCCAGUAUUCUGGCGGGCAUGCCUGUCCGAGCGUCAUUUCAACCAUCAAGCCCCGGGCUUGUGUUGGGGACCUGCGUCCGACGCAGGCCCUGAAAACCAGUGGCGGGCUCGCUGUCCACACCGAGCGUAGUAACUAACCUCGCUAUGGAGUGGCGCGGGCGCCUGCCGUAAAACCCCCAAUUUCACAAGGUUGACCUCGGAUCAGGUAGGAAUACCCGCUGAACUUAAGCAUAUCAAUAAGCGGAGGA
rnacentral:misc_RNA from 1 species